rfam:Oryza rufipogon genomic scaffold, chr11
AAAAUGGCAAACCCUGGAUUUACGUGUCCAACUUUAACUGUUCAUCUUAUAUGAAAUUUUUUUAUAAUUCAUAUUUUUAUUAUUGUUAGAUGAUAAAACAUGAUUAAUAUUUUAUGUGUGACUUGUCUUUUUAAUUUUUUUUUUAAUUUUUUUUAAAUAAGACGGACGGUCAAACGUUAGGCAUGGAAACCAGGGUU